CGGCGUGCCUAACACAUGCAAGUCGAGCGGAGUUAACAAGAGGAAGUUUCGGAUGGAAUUUGUAAUUAGCGGCGGACGGGUGAGUAACGCGUGAGCGACCAACCUUGCACAGGGGGAUAACGGACCGAAAGGUUCACUAAUACCGCAUGAGACCACGGUGUUGCAUGACACAGGGGUCAAAGGAGGAAUCCGGUGCGAGACGGGCUCGCGUCCGAUUAGGUAGUUGGAGGGGUAACGGCCCACCAAGCCUAUGAUCGGUAGCCGACCUGAGAGGGUGAUCGGCCACAUUGGAACUGAGAUACGGUCCAAACUCCUACGGGAGGCAGCAGUGGGGAAUAUUGGGCAAUUGGGGGGAAACCCUGACCCAGCAACGCCGCGUGAAGGAAGAAGGUUUUCGGAUUGUAAACUUCUGUCCUUGGUGAAGAGAAGAAGACGGUAGCCAAGGAGGAAGCCCCGGCUAACUACGUGCCAGCCGCCGC
rnacentral:rRNA from 1 species